rfam:Smithella sp. SDB scaffold-5606, whole genome shotgun sequence.
UGGGAGAGCGCCUGCCUUGCACGCAGGAGGUCAUCGGUUCGAUCCCGUUCACCUCCA